GACGAACGCUGGCGGCGUGCCUAAUACAUGCAAGUAGAACGCUGAAGAGAGGAGCUUGCUCUUCUUGGAUGAGUUGCGAACGGGUGAGUAACGCGUAGGUAACCUGCCUUGUAGCGGGGGAUAACUAUUGGAAACGAUAGCUAAUACCGCAUAACAAUGGAUGACACAUGUCAUUUAUUUGAAAGGGGCAAUUGCUCCACUACAAGAUGGACCUGCGUUGUAUUAGCUAGUAGGUGAGGUAAUGGCUCACCUAGGCGACGAUACAUAGCCGACCUGAGAGGGUGAUCGGCCACACUGGGACUGAGACACGGCCCAGACUCCUACGGGAGGCAGCAGUAGAGAAUCUUCGGCAAUGGGGGCAACCCUGACCGAGCAACGCCGCGUGAGUGCAGAAGGUUUUCGGAUCGUAAAGCUCUGUUGUAAGUCAAGAACGGGUGUGAGAGUGGAAAGUUCACACUGUGACGGUAGCUUACCAGAAAGGGACGGCUAACUACGUG
rnacentral:rRNA from 1 species